rnacentral:misc_RNA from 1 species
AAACAGUACUACCAUACCCGUCACUGACAGCAUUCUCAAACACUUUCUCAGCUAAAUCAACCUUCCCUGAUCUACCAAGUAUACUAAUCAUUGAACUAGCUAAUUUACCUUGCUCAUUUCGCUUCCUUUCACGACCAACAGCGAAUUGAAAGCAACGCAUAGCAGCUAGCCAUUCCCCUCUAUUCCCAAGCUCACGGAACAAAAAAGUAUAAUCAUCGGACCCUACAAGCUUAGAGCCGAAAGUCAACAACACUUGGUCUAAACCAGCUUCGUUGUUACAACAACGAAUAGCUUCUUCAAGAGCCUCCUGAGCAAAUGAAGAGUGCCUUCCGUUACCCGAUAUCUUAGCCCGGCCAAAAUGCAUCUUGGAAACGAAUCGGGUCGACCGUCUACCCGAGAAAUCAGCUGAAAAAUCCGAUUUUGAUGAAGAUAGAGAGAGAAAAUUAGGGGUUUGGGAAGGAUGGUUAGGAUUGCGAGGUGGAUUCAGAGAGACUUUUUGAGAGGACCAAUGGCGUUGAUGAUUG